rnacentral:sRNA from 1 species
CCAGAGGAGGAGUGGGAAGCCAUGCUGCCAGAGUUGAAGUCUACCCUGCAGCAGCUUCUACAGCUUCCCCAGGGAGAGGAGGAGAUUGCUGAGCCAAUUGCCAAUACAGAGACGACUAAAGAUGUGAAAGGACGCAUCUAUCAACUGCUUGCCAAAGCUAGUUACAAGCUGGUGUUCUUUCAGACAGGCCGUCAUUCUCACUCGAGAAGCCACAGGCCACUUCCAGGAGUCCGAACCCUUCAGUCAUAUAGACCCAGAAGAGUCAGAGGAGACCAGGCUUUUGAAUAUCUUAGGACUUAUCUUCAAAGGCUCAGCAGCUUCCACACAAGAAAAGAAUCCCCGGGAAUCUACAGGAAACAUGGUCACAGGACAGACUGUCUGUGAAAAUAAACCCAAUGUGUCGGAGCCUGAGGAAUCCAGGGGAAAUGAUGAACUGGUGAAGCA